AGUGAACGCUGGCGGUAGGCCUAACACAUGCAAGUCGAACGGCAGCACAGUAAGAGCUUGCUCUUACGGGUGGCGAGUGGCGGACGGGUGAGGAAUACAUCGGAAUCUACUUUUUCGUGGGGGAUAACGUAGGGAAACUUACGCUAAUACCGCAUACGACCUACGGGUGAAAGCAGGGGAUCUUCGGACCUUGCGCGAUUGAAUGAGCCGAUGUCGGAUUAGCUAGUUGGCGGGGUAAAGGCCCACCAAGGCGACGAUCCGUAGCUGGUCUGAGAGGAUGGUCGGCCACAUGGGAACUGGGAACCGGUCCAGAUCCCUAGGGGAGGCAGAGGUGGGAAAUUUUGGACAAGGGGGGCAACCCGAUCCCGGCCAGCCGGGGGGGGGAAAGAAGGCCUCGGGGUGGAAAAGCCUUUUUGUUGGGAAAAAAAAGCAGCAGGUUAAAACCCCGCGGUUCGGCGGGUACCAAAAAAAAAAGCACCGCUAAAUUCGGU
rnacentral:rRNA from 1 species